GACGAACGCUGGCGGCGUGCUUAACACAUGCAAGUCGAGCGGUAAGGCCCUUUCGGGGGUACACGAGCGGCGAACGGGUGAGUAACACGUGGGUGACCUGCCUCUAGCUCUGGGAUAAGCCUGGGAAGCUGGGUCUAAUACCGGAUAUGACCUCGCGGUGCAUGUUGCGGGGUGGAAAGCCUUGUGCGGCUAGGGAUGGGCCCGCGGCCUAUCAGCUUGUUGGUGGGGUGAUGGCCUACCAAGGCGACGACGGGUAGCCGGCCUGAGAGGGCGACCGGCCACACUGGGACUGAGACACGGCCCAGACUCCUACGGGAGGCAGCAGUGGGGAAUCUUGCGCAAUGGGCGAAAGCCUGACGCAGCGACGCCGCGUGAGGGAUGACGGCCUCGG
rnacentral:rRNA from 1 species